CGCUACAAUUAGAUUCAAAGAGAGAGAAGAGUGCUGUGAUGGGAAGACUUUCAUUCUCAGACAUUAUUUCUAUCUGGGCAUUUUGAAAAGAUAAAGGGCUUGUUGUCAUUAUGCCUCCAUCUGACAACUUGGUCAAUGUAUCCUUCAUGAAGCUCAGCUUGAAUAGGGAAAAACAAGGGAAUUGCGAGGGUACAUUUCUUCUUCUGAUGGCAACACUCUAAUCGUUCUGCCUCAUUGUCUUUAGGCAAGGAAGGGAGAAGACAGGAAGAGGAAGAAGAGAGAACGUAAAAGGGGCCUUUGGAUAGGCUGAUGCUAUGGAGUUGGAAUCUUAAGCUGGAGGAUGAGCCAAUCAAAGUCAUAAAGGGAAGCCAUAUGUUACACACUUGGAAGUCCAUGUAUAAACAUCAAGUUGAGAGUGGCAGAGGCAAGUUCAAGACCAAGAUCUCGGCACCAAGGAAGACAAGAAAUUGGCCGAUGAUGCCAUGGUGGUGGUCAUUGGAGGCAACUGUGGUCAAAGGGCAUGUGCAAACCUUUGCUUUGACCUUUAUUCCUCAGCAGAGCAGAAGACACUUCUGCUCACAAAGCUGUGUGUGUCCUGCUUCAACAUCACAGCCACAAUUAAAGGGAAAAAAAAACGGUCAAAUUUGGCUGAGUCUUGAGGCAGCAGCCUCCCUAAGCCUGACUGCUUGAGAAGCUAAAGCUAUAAAUUGUGGGUAAUUGUUUGUUACUGUAAGUUUUAUGGAGCAGAAAUGGAGCUGGUAAGGAAAAAUCAUUUUCUUAAGAAACAAAAUGGAUUAAUAAAUGCUGCAACAAGGAUGAAUCUCAGAGACGUUCUAAAUGGAAGAAGCCAGAUGCAAAAGACCACAUACUGUAUGAUUCUAUUUAUAUGAAAUAUCCAAAAGGGCAAUUUAUAGAGACAGAAAGUAGAUUAAUGAUUGCGUAUGGCUGGGGAUGAGAACAAGGAAUGACUGCAAAUGCAUAGAAGAAAUCUUUAUUGGCAUGAUGAAAAUGUUCUGAUAUUGAAUUCAUUCAGGUGAUGGUUGCAUAACUGUACAUUUGUUAAAAAUCGUUAAAUUGUACAUUUAAAACAGCUGAAAUUUAUGAUAAAGCUUACCUCAAAAUAUUUGUUGAGAAAGAAAGAGAAUUAUGCCAAAAAGAAGCCAUAGGUUUUUGCUGUUUGAAUUGUACAUGCUGGCCCUAUAAACCAACUCUUUUCCUUUUGCCUUCAAACUGGAGGAACAUGGAGUCCCAGUGUCAGGAGGAAAUCUAUUGUAGAAAUUGCCUGAAAUGCCAUUUAGCAACUGUUCACGACUGAAGGAAUUGGAUAUCCUAUAUCUUGCCACCACACUGGUCAUAGAUGUGCCCGUCCAGUGCUAGAUAUCGGUUUUGUCACUGUAUUACUGCUUCAUUGCUGGGCUCCCCAUCUUCUCAAGCAUGAACUGCUAACCUUGAAGAUGGUCUCUCCUGGACAAUGGGAUUAUCGCUUCCCACCAGUGUACAGUGCAUUUAAUAAACUUAUCACUUACCAUGUUAUAAUUAAAUGAGGUUUUAUUUGUGUCCUGCCCAAAAUAUAAGCUCUUCCAGGCUGAGAGGCUGUGUUGUUUUCAUCUCUGUGUGCUCAGGACUUGAAACAGAGUAGAUGAUCAAUAAAA